CACAUCAGCGACCCACCAACCAGGCCAUGGCUGUCGCUGCCACAUUUCAGUUAAAAAAAAAAUCCAAUUUUGUUGUCAACAGAGCAUCCGGAAUGCUGGCACAAAGCGCUCGGAAAAAGAGCUCAUUCUCAACAAACAGUAAACUCCAGCUGACGUGUUUUCAUUCUCCUACAACCAAAUAUUUAAAGACAAGGCCAUCGGCCCAUGCACUCAUUCUUAAAGGAAACCACGGCAUUAGUCCCGCAUGAAUUACAUUGUUCACGUUGUAUUUAGUGGCUAUUUUCGUCUCAAUUGCUGCGGUUUAAUGCUUUGUGUGGCUCAGAGGGAUGAGUCUUCUUCUACUCCGUGACGUGGGCUUUAAUCCGGCCGGACCGCCGCAGUAUUACCGCGGAGCAUAGAGCAGUGCCUCGGCGCCGUCUGCUCAAGCCCCCCCCCCUCAGGUUUGCUGGAUCACACGCUUAAGGUACCCGGUUAACGCCGCCUUCAGCGCCGCGGGGGAGCCGCGUUUCCAUGAGUGCGAGGCGUCGCUCUUCUCCGGGACUGCCUGUUAUGCCUGAGAGAUCUCGAGAGUAAAUCUGCUGGGAUCUACCAAUCCGGAGUCCCGCUGGCUGUUUACUGCAGUGAUUGAUCAGGAUCCUCGGCUUCUCUCUCUGCCAGCUUGCACCAGUGGAAUUGUGCUGCCGCUCCAUGCUGUUCGAACCCUACCGCCAUGGGCUCCCGGCCGUUAGGCGACGCACUGGAGUGAGCUGAGCUUUUUCUGUGGCACUGAUACCCUCUCCUCAUCCGGAGUCCCACCGCCAUCCCCCCCCCCCC